AUACGUUUGGUAGGGCAGAGACUGUAGUUCUAGAGGUUUGGUAGGUCAGACAGACUAUAGUUCUGUAGAGGUUUAGUAGGUCAGACAUACUGUAGUUCUGGAGAGGUUUGGUAGGUUAGAGACUGUAGUUCUGGGGACGUUUGAUAGGGCAGAUACUGUAGUUCUAGAGGUUUGGUAGAUCAGAAACUGUAGUUCUGGAGAGGUUUGGUAGGUCAGACAGACUGUAGUUCUGGAGACAUUUGGUAGAUCAGAAAGUCUGUAGUUCUAGAGAGGUUUGGUAGGGCAGAGACUGUAGUUCUAGAGGUUUGGUAGGUCAUACAUACUGUAGUUCUGGAGAGGUUUGGUAGGUCAGAGACUGUAGUUAUGGAGAGGUUUGGUAGGUCACACAUUCUGUAGUUCUGGAGAGGUUUGGGAUAUCAGACAGGCUGUCGUUCUAGAGAGGUUUGGUAGGGAUUAGACUGUAAUUCUAAAGGAUUGGUAGAUCAGAGACUGUAGUUCUGGAGAGGUUUGGUAGGUCACACAUUCUGUAGUUCUGGAGAGGUUUGGUAGAUCAGACAGACUGUAGUUCUAGAGAGGUAUGGUAGGGCAGAGACUGUAGUUCUAGAGGUUUGGUAGGUCAUACAUACUGUAGUUCUGGAGAGGUUUGGUAGGUCAGACAUACUGUAGUUCUAGAGAGGUUUGGUAGGUCAGAGACUGUAGUUCUGGAGACGUUUGGUAGGAAAGAGACUGUAGUUCUAGAGGUUUGGUAGGUCAGACAUACUGUAAUUCUGGAGAGGUUUGGUAGCUCCGAGACUGUUGUUCUGGAGAGGUUUGGUAGGUCAGACAGACUGUAGUUCUGGAGAGGUUUGGUAGGUCAGAGACUGUAGUUCUAGAGGUUUGGUAGGUCACACAUACUGUAGUUCUGGAGAGGUUUGGUAGGUCAGUAGGUCAGAGACUGUAGUUCUGGAGACGUUUGGUAGGGCAGAGGUUUGCAAUAGGCUUAAAACAAAAAUAUCAAGAAUAACU
rnacentral:lncRNA from 13 species